rnacentral:tRNA from 1 species
ACUUAAAUAGCUUAAAUUUAAAGCGUAAUAUUGAAGAUAUUAAGAUAAAAUAUUUUUUUAAGUA